rnacentral:rRNA from 1 species
GUGGGGAAUAUUGGUCAAUGGACGAAAGUCUGAACCAGCCAUUCCGCGUGCAGGAAGAAGAUUCUAUGGAUUGUAAACUGCUUUUAGCAGAGAAGAAACGCCUUCAUUGAUGAGGGUUUGACGGUAUCUGCGGAAUAAGCACCGGCUAACUCCGUGCCAGCAGCCGCGGUAAUACGGGGGGUGCAAGCGUUAUCCGGAAUCACUGGGUUUAAAGGGUGCGUAGGCGGGAAAUUAAGUCAGUGGUGAAAGUCUGUUGCUUAACGAUAGAAUUGCCGUUGAUACUGAUUUUCUUGAAUUGGGUUGAGGUUAGCGGAAUGUGACAUGUAGCGGUGAAAUGCAUAGAUAUGUCAUGGAACACCAAUUGCGAAGGCAGCUAGCUGGGCCUUGAUUGACGCUGAGGCACGAAAGCGUGGGUAGCGAACAGGAUUAGAAACCCCUGUAGUCC